rnacentral:rRNA from 1 species
UGGGGAAUAUUGCACAAUGGGGGAAACCCUGAUGCAGCGACGCCGCGUGAGCGAAGAAGGUUUUCGAAUCGUAAAGCUCUGUCCUAUGAGAAGAUAAUGACGGUAUCAUAGGAGGAAGCCCCGGCUAACUACGUGCCAGCAGCCGCGGUAAUACGUAGGUGGCGAGCGUUAUCCGGAUUUACUGGGCGUAAAGGGCGUGUAGGCGGCUAGAUAAGUGUGAUGUUUAAAUCCAAGGCUUAACCUUGGGGUUCAUUACAAACUGUUUAGCUUGAGUGCUGGAGAGGAUAGUGGAAUUCCUAGUGUAGCGGUAAAAUGCGUAGAUAUUAGGAGGAACACCGGUGGCGAAGGCGGCUAUCUGGACAGUAACUGACGCUGAGGCGCGAAAGCGUGGGGAGCAAACAGG